AUGUUCCGCCUUUCCCUCGCAAAUUUUUGUAAUACAGCCGUGAACCAUAUUCAUUCGAAUGUUAAUAAAUCUGAAGUUUGGCAUUCACGUCUUUGUCACAUUAGUUUUGGUGUUAUGACGUGGCUAGCUAAGUUGGAUUUAAUCCCGAGUUUCACUUUAGCCAAAGGUUCUAAGUGUCUUUCAUGUGUGCAAGCUAAGCAACCUCGCAAGCCUCGUAAGGCCGCGGAGGAGAGACACUUGGCACCAUUAGAACUCAUACAUUCUGAUCUUUGUGAGAUGAAUGGUGUGUUGACUAAAGGUGGAAAGAAAAUACUUCAUGACAUUAAUAGAUGA
rnacentral:rRNA from 1 species